CUCAGUCAUGCCUGACUCUGCAGCCUCGUGGACGAUAGCCUGGGAAGCCCCAGACCCAUGGCUACUGCUGGUGGUGAGGUUCAGCUCUUGGAAGCAACCUGAGGGAGAAAGACAGAUGUCUGCUCAUGUCCCAGCCCCUCACACACACACCCCUGAACUGGAACCAGGAAGCCCAGGGAGUCCCCAGCAGGUUGGCCUGCCAACAGCUGACCCCAUCUUCCUCAUCCUCUCAGCCAAGGACCACCUUGGAGGAACCUAUACACUGUCUUCCUCAAAACUGCCAGAGGCAGCCCAGGAGCAGGAAGGGACUGUCUGCCAGGGUCACCAGUCCCUCUUAAGGACACCCCUACUUUGUUCUUGUGUGCCUGUCCAGCCCCACAAUAGGCGCCUGACUUUUCUAUUGUUAAGGAUAAUCCUCUUUAGCUCUUUCUUGGUUUCUGGACAUCAAAAUCAAAUGAAAUUCAAGAAGUGGAAUUUUAGGCCAGAGACUAGUCUAAAAACUGCAAGUCUUUAUAAUUAACAAAAGGAAUCUAAAAAAAGAGAUGAAAUGUCACUGCUCCUUUGCAGCUGUGGAGGAAGGAGCAUCGUUUUGCAUUCAUAAAACCACUUAAAAGAACCUGAUUUCAUAAGGUCUUAAAUUGAGAACUCUCAUAAGAAAUGCCAUCUUUAUGCAACAUGGAUGUGUGAAUAUUCAUAACAGUAACCAAAUAGGAAUGUUCUCUGUGAAAACAAAUCUGUCUUUGGAAGAAUUUUGAACAAAGACAUCUGGCUGUGAUCUUCUCGGAGAUGAGGACAAGUGACUGGCCAAGUCACUUUUGUGCCCUGUAUCUCCCCAGUGCCUGGCAUGAGGGUGGCAGCUUGGAGCUGCCAUUCCAUUCUGUCCCUGCUGGAGGACAGGGAGGACAGACAGCCAUUCCCAGCACUCUCUCCUCUGAGCCCCAGCUUAGCUUCAGAAUCCUCCUGGACACAGUGCCUGAGAUGGCUGGCACCAAUCAGGUGGAGUUGGCAUAGAAAAGAAAACCUGGGGCUUCCCAGGUGGCUCAGUGGUAAAGAAUCUGCCUGCCAAGGCAGGAGACGUGGGUUCGAUCCCUGAUCCGGGAAUAUCCCACAGGCGGUGGAGCGACUAAGCCUGUGCUCUAGAGCCUGGGAGCAGCAAGUAUGGAGCCCAAGUGCCACAACCACUGAAGCCUGUACUCUGAACCAAGAGAAGCCUCUGUGAUGAGAAGCCUGAACCACAGCUAGAGAGUAACCUCUGCUUGCUACAACUAGAGAAAAGCCUGUGCAGCAAUGAAGACCCAGCACAGCCAAACAUACCUACAUAAA